CUUCACGCUCUCCAAGUCACUCCAAUGAAACCUCCUGUUAAAAGCCAUCAGUAUUUUUCUGAGUAACAGUCGUGUCGAGAGUCUACUCAGCAGUAAGAUAACGGAUGUUUGAAGUAACCUCGCCAUGCACUUUGUUUAUUUACCAUAACGUCACUGCUGCCUUACUUACAUAUAGGGACUUCAUGUUUCUUAUAGGGGUUGACUGAUUAUCAGCCGUGUCCAUAUUCACCGCUUUCAUGGCACGAUUUGCCGAUGAGAUAAUUUCAUUAUAAAAUGUGCUACUUUGGCUAUGAUGCUGCCGCAGUCACGACUCUGGACUUUAGCGAUGUCCUGUCCAUAUUUGUUUGUUUGUUCACUAAUUUACUCCACACACACUCCACAUAUCUAUUAUCGGCGUCUUAGAUAAGUAAUAAUCGUAAUCGGCCUGAAAAAGCCGAAUCGGUCGACCCCCUAGUUUCUUAUCCUCAUCUAAUGCACUUGUGUUGUUGUAAUAGCCAGGUCGGACACUGUGCAAAACCUAUCCAAUCAUUCCCUCUAUAAAUACUGUAUCACAUGAUCAUGAAAAAAUAAGGUCAGGGCAACUCUCGAUGGACAACAAAUGGGAUAAAAGCUCAUGAAUAGAACAUGUUUGUAAUGGAAUCUGCUGCCUGUGCAUUGUCACAGUGACACUGUUGGAGAUAAAGUCACGAAGCGGCCAAAUACACAUGGGCAUCACAUUCCUGUAUUACCUCGAUGACUUCAUUGUAAACCUUGAAGAUGCAGCUACAGUAAGAAUCUGAUCCGAAUCCCACUGUGCUGCCGUGGCGGUGGAAGACGCCCCCCCACACCCAAACACACACACACACACACGCACACACUGUGUCCCUGUAGCAACAUCAUGAGAACGUUACCGGAGCGCUACAGUCAUUUCCACUAAGAACGGUGGGCGGCGCGCACGCAGCCCCGUCUCUCGUUGCGAGACGUGUCAGCGCACGUCCCCAAUCAUCCAACCAGCCCGCGAGACAGCACUUUCUUCAAACCAAGCCGGGCGGAGCCAAGCUGGGCCGAACCGCACCGCAGCGCACCGCGCUCGACCAGAGCCAAACCUAUCCGAGCAUUCAGCCUGUGCACGGCGGCAGCAGCGGGCGGCAGGCUGAUGGCGAAGAUGAUGAUGAUGAUGAUGAUGAUGACCUGGUGGUAGCUCAUCUUUUACGCACCCCGACCCGCCGCCGCGUUCCUUAUAAACCCACUGUCUGCCUCCACACGUUCAAUUUUCCACGCCGCCACCAUGGAGACGACACUUCACAGGAGCGAUUUUGUCGUUUCCCAGCUGCUCCUGUUCAGCCAACUAGUCAUGGCAGUGGAGCCGCUGAAGAAACUCCCCGAGGACAUUGACUGGUCGUACUCAGGUCUGUACGACUCAGUGUUUGUUUUUUUAAUUUUCCCAUUCCUGUCCUUGCAGAAAACUUGAAAAAAGACAGUUCUUUACAGUGAUGAGACGAAAUCCAAAGUGAAAUAAAUCGAUGAAUGCAAAAAAGCACUAAAACU
rnacentral:lncRNA from 1 species